UCUUGGUCAUUUAGAGGAAGUAAAAGUCGUAACAAGGUUUCCGUAGGUGAACCUGCGGAAGGAUCAUUAUCGAGUUUUGAAACAGGUUGUAGCUGGCCUCUCACGAGGCAUGUGCACGCUUGGCUCAUCCACUCUCAACCUCUGUGCACUUUUUGUAGGAAUGGCAAGAAACUGGCGCAAGUCAGUAGAAAGCCUUUCUAUGUUUAUUACAAACGCUUCAGUUAUAGAAUGUUUACUUGCUAUAACGCAUUUAUAUACAACUUUCAACAACGGAUCUCUUGGUUCUCGCAUCGAUGAAGAACGCAGCGAAAUGCGAUAAGUAAUGUGAAUUGCAGAAUUCAGUGAAUCAUCGAAUCUUUGAACGCACCUUGCGCUCCUUGGUAUUCCGAGGAGCAUGCCUGUUUGAGUAUCAUGGAAUUCUCAACUCCCAAAUUUUUUAACAAGAGUUUGGUGAGCUUGGACUUGGAGGUCGUGUCGGCUCUCGCCAGUUGACUCCUCUGAAAUGUAUUAGUGUGAAUCUUACUGAUCGCCUUCAGUGUGAUAAUUGUCUACGCUGUGGUCGUGAAGUAUCUCAUAUUCAUGCUUACAAUCGUCUCUCUGAGACAAUUUUUAUGACUUCUGAUCUCAAAUCAGGCAGGACUACCCGCUGAACUUAAGCAUAUCAAUAAGCGGAGGAAAAGAAACUAACAAGGAUUCCCCUAGUAACGGCGAGUGAAGCGGGAAGAGCUCAAAUUUAAAAUCUGGCGGUCUUUGGCCGUCCGAGUUGUAUUCUAGAGAAGUGUUUUCCGCGCUGGACCGUGUAC
rnacentral:rRNA from 1 species